rnacentral:misc_RNA from 1 species
GACUGAUAAUGCAGGUGCUCUUUCAUGCAGAAGGGGACGCGGAUGCUAAUACAGUCCCAAUCAAUUAAAUUUGGCCAAAUAGGCCAUUCAGUUUCUGCCAUUUUUUUUUUAAGCCAUCGUUUCUUUCCAGAACUAUCUGCAUACAAAUAUAUAUUGGCAAGUGUACAAUUUUUUACACUAUGUCAUUAUAUCGUUACACCCAUAUUUCCAGCAUUCCCUUCUCUCUUUUCUUCUCAACCUCGGCCUGCUUCCAUCGAAAAGAGCCCCCAAUACCAUUCUUCUAGGAGCAGGUGCGGAAGCGUUGCUCAUUUCUUCUCUGUUUUUUUUCCCUUCUUCUACCAUUUUCAGUUGCCUGUGCCGCCUUUUCCUUCUAACCACCAUUGAAGCGUCUUUUGAGUCUACAUU